rnacentral:rRNA from 1 species
UACAGAGGUCCCGAGCGUUGUUCGGAUUCACUGGGCGUAAAGGGUGCGCAGGCGGCCAUGUGUGUCAGGUGUGAAAGCCCGAGGCUCAACCUCGGAAUUGCGCCUGAAACUACAUGGCUAGAGUACUGGAGAGGGUAGCGGAAUUCAUGGUGUAGCAGUGAAAUGCGUAGAUAUCAUGAGGAACACCAGAGGCGAAGGCGGCUACCUGGACAGUUACUGACGCUCAGGCACGAAAGCCGUGGGGAGCAAAAGGG